UCACAAGUGGUGCUCUUUACAGAUCUGGAUUAGCGGUGGUCACAAGCAGGCUGUUGUUCAACUCCUCAUCUCCAGUCCCCAGUGAAGCUCUGGUCCUCACUGCUGUCGACACUCUUCUUAACUCAAGAAUACCACAGCUCAAUCAAUCAGUGAAAAUUGUGAAUGUCACCUACGAGAAACUCUCAGACACCUCAUAUGCCAUCGUCUUUACAUUCGAUCUGCCCAAUAUCAGCAUUCCCGAAGACCCUGUACUAAAAAACAAGAGCUACAACCAAGUGGAGAGUAAUGUCAACAAUGCAGUAAGCAUUCUCCAUUAACAAAUUAAGCAGUUUGAGUCCAAAAAUAAAAAUAGAAAUGUUAAGCACCAUUGAUUCAAAGCUAAGAAGAAGAAAAAAUCUUUGUAAAAAGGAUCUUGUCCAGAGUUUAACAACUGGCUUUGUUUUCUCCUUUAGCUGAAUACUCUUCUGAAUGAACCUACCAGUGCACCUUUACAACCCAAAUCAGCAAACUUCACGAGCACAUCUAACCAGAUUGUGGGCAUUAUGGGAUACACCUUCCAGGAGGAAGAUGUCAUCCAGCCAGUCAGUUUCCUAAAUGAACUUCGAUCACAGACAGCACCGACGACUACAAUGGCCACUUCCACUGCCAGUUCCACCCCUGCAGUUCCAAUAUCUGGAUUAGCGGUGGUCACAAGCAGGCUGUUGUUCAACUCCUCAUCUCCAGUCCCCAGGGAAGCUCUGGUCCUCACUGCUGUCGACACUCUUCUCAAAUCCCGAGAGUUACGGCUCAAUGAAUCAGUAAAAAUUGUUAAUGCUACCUAUAAGAAACUCUCAGACACCUCAUAUGCCAUCAUCUUUACAAUUAAUCUGACUAAAAUCAGCAUGCCUGAAGACCCUGUACUGAAAAACAAGAGCUACAAACAAGCCGAGGAUACCAUCAAUAUUGCACUGAAUACUCUUCUGAAUGAACCUACCAGUGCACCUUUACAACCCAAAUCAGCAAACUUCACGAGUACAUCUAACCAGAUUGAGGGUGUUAUGGGAUACGCAUUCCAGGAUGAAGAUGUCAUCCAACCAGUCAGCUUCCUAAAUGAGCUACGAUCACAGACAGUACCAACAACUACAAUGGCCAGUUCCACUGUGACUCCUGCUAUCCCAAUAUCUGGUUCAGCGGUGGUCACAAGCAGGCUGUUGUUCGACUCCUCAUCUCCAGUCCCCAGUAAAGCUCUGGUCCUCACUGCUGUCGACACUCUUCUCACAUCCAGACAGUCACAGCUCAAUGAAUCAGUGAAGGUGGUGAAUUUCACAUAUGAGCAAAUUUCAGAAAGCUCAUAUGCCGUCACCUUUAAAUUUAAUAUAACUCAACUCAGCAUGCCAAGUGACUCUGGGCUUAGAAACAACACAUACCUGCAAGUAGAGGAUACUAUAAGCAAAGCACUGAACACUCUUGUGAACGAACCUAAGAAUCCAACUUUAAAGCCCAAGUCAUCUAACUUCAAGAGUGCAUUAAAUCGUAUUGAGGGAAAUAUGGAGUAUGCAUUCCAAAAAGAUGACGUCCUACAACCAAUCAGCUUCCUACAUCAGCUUAGUUUAUUGACAGUCACAACAACAACCAGCAGUCUGACAACAACAACAACAACUACAACAACAACAACAACGUCUCCACCAACUUUGAUGGGAGUGGUUACUAUAUUUAUUAAGCUUCAGUUCAUCACUCUGGGCCCAAUACCGAGUGAAAACAGCAUCAUACCACUGGUCAAUUCUUUGGUCACUUCUCGUUUGCAAACUAAGGAUGUCACCACACAAAACAUGCAAGCGAGCUAUGUGAAUGUCACCUAUAACAGGAUUAGUGAUUUCUCCUAUGUACUCAUAUUUGAAUUCAAAAUCAGCAAUGUGCCCAUGCGUGAGACAUUUGAACUGAGGAAUGAAACCUACGUUCAAAUCCAAACCUCUAUAAACAAUUUGCUGCCCAAAGUCCUGAAUGACCCCACACCUCCUCAAAUUGAAUUAAAUCAAGUGGUGUUCAACAAUACUAAUAAUGAGAUUCAGGCCAAUGUUCAGUUUGUUUUCUCACAAAGUAAUGUAAACACAACCAGUACCUUGGUCCAAGAAAUUCUGAAAGUUAAUGGAGUUAUUACCACAUCUGCACCUGCUUUAACGACAGCCAGCACAUUGUUGAUAACCUCUCCUCCAACCUUGCUUGGGAAGGUGGUUAUCUACAUCAGCCUUAUAUUUAAAACAAAAGGCCCUCUGCCAAGUCAGAGCAACGUCCUUCAGAUGGCAAAUUCCCUGUUGUUGAGAUUUAAAAUGAAAUCUAAAAGAUCCAUCACAGAAAAAGAGCUGCAAGACCUUGUGAAUGGUGUCAAUGUCACUUAUACAAAACUUGAUGAUACCUCAUUCUCUCUGAACUUUGGAUUUGAAAUCAGCAACGUAACCAUGUCUGAGAAAGUUGAACUCAGGAAUGACACCUAUGUCGUGAUCCAGACCUACAUAAACAGCUUUGUGUCCAAGAUCCUCAAUAAAACAACAACUGUUGACUUUAACUUCAACCAAAUUGCUUUCUUGAGCAAUUCCUCCAUCAUUGAAGCCAAUGUCACGUACGUGUUCUCAGACAGUGAUGUUGGUGCUUUUGGCUUGGUCGCCUCUAUACUCGGAGCUUCCACCACACCUGCUCCAGCCACCACUUACCCUACAGUUCUGAACACUACGAUUUCAGGCAACAGCACAAAUGCAGCAUGGGUUGUGGCUAUCAUUGUACCCUGCGCGAUUGUCAUCAUGCUUGUACCUUGCUGGAUUCUCCUUUGUUGUUUGCUGUGUGGUUGCUGUGCAGCAAUCAGAAGACGUUGGCACAGGAGACAGUCUUACAAUGUACAGUACUCCACUCGAAACAGCCUCUUCUAGAGAAAUUCAAGAGCAAAGCCUGGAUGUCUAUAAUAUGUAAACUAUUAUUUAAGGAAAUAUUUAUUUAUUUGAAAAUGAUGCUAAUGUAAUGAUGAACUUGAAUUUACGUAAUGUUUGGGACAAAUGUAGAAUGUGUUGAUCACUUCUUUCUUCACACUUCAUGUAUUUUAUCCUCAUAAUAUAUUUAAUUGCCCCCUUUUUCCACAAAUCCACAUGAAUGUGAAUGUAUUGUCUGUAUUGUUGAAAUGGUAUUUUAUUAAAAGCAGUUUAUACAAAUAUGAUUUUGUAUUGAAAGUUGUUGACACAUACAGACACACAUUUAGACUCUGCAAAAGACAAAAAGAAAACAAUUUAUGAAGUAUUUUCAACAUUGUACUUAUCUCCCUUUAUUAGGCCCAUGGUGUCAGACAUUUUGUAAUGAUGUUUGUGAGCAGUUAAAUAAAGAUAUAAAGCUAGAAUCUUCCAUUUCAAUCUAUUGUCAUAAAAAGCUUUGUUUUUUUUUAAUAAGUAUUAAAAAUUAAAAUCCUGUGGCAAUGACAUUUAUACAUUUAGCUAGGUUUAUUUAUCCAUUCAUCCAUGCAUCCUUGCAUUUAUUCACUCAUUCAUUUAUUUUGGCUUAGUCCCUUAUUUAUCACAGCGGAACAAACCACCAUCUUUUCAGGCAUAUGUUUUAUGCAGCUGAUCCUCGUCCUGAUGCAACCCAGUACUGGGAAACACCCACACACUCUCACAUUCACACACACACUCAUACACUACGACCAAUUUAGUUCAUCCAAUUUACUUACAGUGCAUGUCUGUGGACUGUGGGGGAAACCAGAGCACCUGGAGGAAGCCCACACAUGGGGAAAACAUGCAAACUUAACAUAAAAAAUUCCAAUUAGGACUCAAACCAGUGACCU
ensembl:lincRNA